GGGUCCCUUGUCCUAGGUGAAAUUACCCUCUGCUUUCGUCCCCGCGCUUGAGGGAGGAAGGCUUUCAGGUCCAAAAUGUGCCCUGCUCCUUCCUUCUAAGUUGUUCAUCAGAACAAGCUGUUGUUCCUGAGAGGAAGGAGAGAAGCCAGUAUCUCCUUGUGGAACACUGCUUUGUCUUUAUGUUGCCAUUCUCGAGAGCUCCUGUUGCCAAGAGGAAUUUCUUGAUUUAACGAAAAACCAGUCAUAUAUGACAUGGCAGUAUGCACCAGAGGCUUUCCCACCACCAGCCUGGAGCAGGCAGGGCUGGUUCUUUGAGCCCGAGGGAAACGAAAUGGUGACCUGAAGUUGUUAUGUCACAGGUCCCUAUGCUCAAUGAUUCCAGCAAGGGUUUCUGUGCCAAGCCUACCUUCAAACGGGUGGCAAAAAUGUGCCCAACCCUGACUUUCAAUCCAUUAUGAAUUGUCACCACCACUGCACGCUGGGCCUGACACCCCAAAAAAGCCAGAAGAUGACUCUGGAACUGAAGCACGGUGUUCCAGGAGGAAUCUCCACCAACCUGACUUGAGCUCAGUGUGGAACUGCAGUACCUAAACAUGGAGGAAGAAGAAUAUUUCUGUGAGGUGCAAGAAGAAUAUUUGCACCUAUCCAAGAAAAACUACUGAUUCAGAACAUAACUGAAAAUAUAAUACACACUUAUUAAAAUGGGAUAUUUGUGGGAACUCAUAGACACAAUCUGUACUUGUCAUUGGACACAGAAGUCUGUAGCUUUCUGUCAAAAGGUUAUUGUGAAAUUCAAAAUGUCAAAGCUUAAAAAUUCAAAAUAUUAUGUUGGGGGGAAAAAAUCUAUAGAAGAUAGUCUACACAGAACAGAGAUUUAGUGUGAGGAAGUCAGAAAGUAGAACAGUGUUCUUCAUGAGCAACUUCAUCCAAAUGUUUUUUUGUCACAUAAGCUCUUCAGUUAUGAGCAAAAACAGAGACUGCAGCUCCAAAUACUCUCACUUAGCACAUUCUCUUUUCAAGAACUCUG